rnacentral:lncRNA from 1 species
GCAUUGCAAAGAACUUGACCCAAAGAUAAUGGUAGAGUGUUGCUCUAGAAUGGAAGAGUCAUUGCAUUAUACAUAUAAAAUCUAUAGGAAAAGGAACAUAAUUGCAGCUUUGGAGAUUAGGGUGGUAAAGCAAGGAAUUUUUGAAGCACUAAUGGAUUACUAUGUGUCCAAAGGAACUUCAUUGAGCCAAUACAAAAAACCUAGUUGCAUUAAAUCUGAGGAAGUCUUGAAGAUAUUAGAUUCAAGAGUGAUAGGAAAGUAUUUCAUCCCCAAAUCACCGUUAUAAUUAGUUUGCAUCAGUUCUUGUUUAAGAUUACCUAAUCCUUCCUAUGUAUAAAAACUCAGGAGAAUAAUCCUUUUCACUUUAUUGUGUAGGCAUACAUUAAUGUUUGGUAAAGCUAUUAAUAUUUUGUUUCGAACUUAAAGGCAAGAUUACACACGUAUUCUCAUGUAAUUUUCUUAUGAAUCGUUUGAUACAUUAUGGGAAAGUUGAUAUGGCAAUAUCAAAGGGCUUUAUAUGCAUGGAAGAAAAUAUUUGGUUUAUUUCUUAACGUAGUGCCUAAUGCUCUCUAUAAGGUAGGUAAAGUGGAAGAAGUUGUAGAAUUGAUCAUGAUUGAUGAGAUGAAGGGUAAUUUCCCCCUGAUAUUAUUUACUACACUACUUUAAUCAAUGGAUAUUGUCUUCAAGGUAUAGCUAAAGAUGCAUUGAGCUUGUUCGAGGAGAUAAUGGAGAAAAGUCACAAGCCUUUGAUAUUGUUUCUUACGGUGUCUUUGUUAGGGGCUUAGCUAGAACUGCUCUUACAGAAGAAGUGAUCAAUCUCUGGGAUUAUGUAGAGACGCAAGGUUUGAAGUGUAACACUAUCAUUAUGUAAAAGUGGGAAAGUAAAGGAAGCUGAAGCCUUCUUACAUACGAUCAAUUUUGAGGAUUAAUUGUUACACCUCAAACCUGACUUGAGAGUCCAAUCAAAUUUGGAAUAUUACAAUAGUUAUCGGAAUGACCCACUCGAUCAGUCAUUCAAUUAAUGCGAUUAACCAAUUAAUUCAUUUUAACAAAUCUGAUUAUCAAAUUUAAAACUAAAAAACUCAAAUAAAUUAAUCGUUCAAUUCAAACACACAAGGAUCGCUUGCCUUAAACUAAAUAUUUAACCAAUAUAAAAAUAACCCACAAAUCCGAUAGACCUAAGUACAUGCCAAAGCUAAACUAAGUGAAAACGUCGUCACAAACUAAGUAUUGCGAGGACUCUUUGGUAAUACUAUUCGGUUUGAAACUUAUGAAUCAUUUAUAAUUGACGUACGGAAUUAAAAAUCCAAAUGCUAAUCAGUUUACAACUUAAUGGUAAUCUAAUACAUUUUAAACUACCAUAUAUAUAUAUCUAACUCUACUUUGGAAUUAAAAACCAAAUAUAUCACAAGAAAUUAAAACCUAAAUUAACUUAGCUAACCGAUAUCCAAUAUCAAAAACUAUUUAAGCGAGCGAUCAGCGGCUAUUUUGACGAUUGACCAGCAGUAUUUUUGAGGAAAGCAAUGGGGCAAUAAACAAGGCUUUUGGAUGGAGAUUCAAUGGCAAUUUGGAGGUACUUUUUAGGGUUUAGCCAAAUCUUGCAUAAAUAAAAAUCCUAAUUUAAAAAUAAAAAUUAAAUCUAAAUCUUGCAUAAAAAAAUCCCUUAUUUUAUUCCUAACUAAAAUGAGAAAAAAUAACAUAUUUGCUUGUUUGAAAAACAAAUGUAAAUUAAAAUAAUAUUUAUUUGAUUGUAUUUAUUAAUUAAUAUAAUUUAUUAUUAAAACUUAAUUCUAAAAAUGACAGUCAAUUUAAAUAUAAUAAAAAAGAAAAGAAAGUAUUUUGAGUUUUUGAUUAGCUCUUUUAGUUUAAAGUACUCCCUUUUUUUUUAAAUUAAGUUUAUUAUACCCAUCUAGCUUUGGACAUGAGUCAGUAUUGCAAGUCAUUUGAGAAGGUAGUUCUCUAUUUUCUGUUAUUUGGGUAAUUAUCGAAUGACCCACAUCUCGAAAGGGUUCUAGACUCUUGAGAAUAAGUCGUUUACUGUUGUAAACAAAUUACUCGCUCCCUUCAGAAAGGUAUUGUUCAUUCGUUUUUGUGAAUAGCCCAUCCUACAUAUAAAUGAAUACAAACAUUCUCUUAUAAAUAUAAUUAUAUUUAUUUUAAUAUUAAUAAAGCAUGUCUUACAUUCAUUAUCAACAAAGGGCACCUUAACCAAUAUAUAUUAAAAAAUAUUAUUUUAAAAGUAAUCAAGAUUGAAUCUUCAACAAAGUAAGAUAUAAUGAUGACAUAAAAUUAUAAAAAUCAUAUCAACUAAACCUCUUUCGGCCUACAAUUAUGUGUUACAUUGGCUUUUGAAAAUUGGAAGAGGCAUAAAUUGGUACUCAAUUACAUUAAAAUUCAACUUUCUCAUGCUUAGUUUUAAUAUAUUUAAUAUAUUAUUGAAUCAUGUUUUAAUCAUUUCAUUGAUGCCAUAAUGUUUAUCAUGUGUGUCGACAUGUGUGGGUCUAGUCCAAUGAAUCUUAUUAUGUUUAGCGAUAGGUAGAGAUUCCAUUGCCAAAAGCUACAAAAUCCCCAAAAAGAAAACAAAAAAAGCUAUCUGGAUCUCAGUAAUAGGGUUCAUGGCAAUGAAUGGGUAUGAAGGUGGGUUGAAGAUGAUUGAGGAACUGACUACAAAUGCUGAGCAAACUCAAGACGAGGUAUUGAGGGAAAUACUAAGUAGAAAUGUAGGAACAGGGUAUUUAAUGGGAUUCCUCCAUGGUCAAACCGAGAAGUGGCUCUUUAAGAAAAAUGUUCUCGUAGUUACGUAUGAAGAUCUCAAGCCUUUCAUAGAUAGGAUUGCUAAUAGGGAGACAUCAGAAAUCCUUUUAGCUAAACCCGUUACAGGGUUCUAUCUAAGGCAUGCAUGAAUUUGUUGCUUUGCUUUUGUGUGUUUUAGGGUAUUGGUUGCUUUCUUCUAAUUGCUCUAUUAUCUUUUGGAUCAAAUGCAGUUCUGGGACUUCAGGCGGGCAGCCAAAGCUGAUGCCUGUCACUGCUGAAUAUCAAAAGAAUGGGGCAUUAUAUGAUACCUUGAGCCAGUCUCCGACGAUGAGGUAUGAACCCAUACCAAUUUCUUUGUUUCAAUUUUUCAUUCAGCCACAUGUGAAAUCAAACCUUUUACUCAUUGAUCAAUCAAACCUUUUACAAAUAAACAGAGUUUAACUAGAAGAUUAUUUCUCAAAUUUGACUGAAAUAGGAGUCAUUCUUAACAAAUCUCCACCUUGACUCAUAUUUUCACAACGUCGUCUUUGCCAAAGCUUGCUACGAGCCUAUCUUGAACCAUGUAGGGAAUUAACUGAGUCGAAUCUAUGCUUAGAAACUGAAAGAUUUCUAGCCUUUGACUUGUACACUGCCAAAUUAAAACUAACCCGGGUUUGAUUUUCACAAACACAGUGCCCUAACUUUUCAAAACCUGUAUCCAAAAGAGAAACUCUCUUCAACGAAAUGGUCAUACCAUUUUCCCUCCUAUGACCAAGUUGCCUCCGCUCCAAACGAGUUAACUUCGACUCUAUAACGGACGAUGAUGUCCGAUUUCACCGGUCACUGUAAAACCUUCCAGAAUAUAAAGACUGCCGGUUCUUUUACCUUUUAACAAAACUAGAGCUCCAUGAGAUACUUUAAUGCCGCUCAAAUCGAUGUUGAUUUUGCAUCAUUUCAAGUCUAAAAUAAUUAAUGAGAUGAGAUUCUUUCGUAAAUCAAGUACAUAUCUGAUAUCUAAUAGUGUCUUAAUCGUCCUAUUGUGUAUCCUAAUUUUAAUAGUACCAAUAUCAAUUACCUUACUAGAUGAAUUGUUUCCCAUGCGCACAACUCCAUAUUCAACCGAACUGUCUCUGGAGAACCAUUCUCUAUAUGGACACAUAUGGAAAGAACAUCUCGAAUCUAGGAUCCACUCAGACGUGAGCUUGGAGUUAUCGCUCGUUGAAACUAACAAGAAAUUAUCACCACUUUCAUCGGCCAAAUUAACACCAGCUACAUCUUCCUCGUUACUCUCAGCCACUUUUUAUUUCGCAGUUUAUAACAAUCUGCUUUGACGUGAAUAGCGACACCUUUUUUCUUGUUUCUUUAAUGCUACCAAAAUGGAAACUUGCUUAUCUGCCUUGCUAUCCAAACCAAACUCAUUGUUGAGUUUGUCUCUACUCAACAAAUGACCCUUCACAUCUUCGAACAAGAGUUUGUCUCUGCCAUAAAUUAUGGUCUCUUUAAAAGACUUGUAUAGAGCACAAUAAUAUCAUAGCCUGAUUUUCAUCGUCAAUAUGAACCUCAAAUUUCUUUAAAUAAUUUUAAAAAGUAAUGAAUUUACUGAUGUGAUCUCUAAGAAGCUCACCUUCGUUCAUGCGAAAUGUAAAUGGACGUUGUUUCAACACUAAACGGUUAGCCAGAGACAUAGUCACAUGAAGAGUUUUUAACCUUUUCCACAAGGCAGAUGAGGUUUUCUCCAUUAAUACCUCCUGCAAUACCGUAUUCGCGAGGCAUAAUUGGAUUGCAGACAAUGCCUUUUCAUCAUGCUCUUCUGAUUCUAUUUGAUUUAGAUUCUCAGGCUUUUUCCUGGUAACAACCUUUUUCAAGCCGAUUUGAACUAGAAUUGCCAUCAUCCGAACUUGCCACAAAUUGAAAUUUAUCUCACCAUUGAACUUCUCAAUUUCAAACAUUGUUGCUGCCAUAUCUGAAUGGGUUAAUUUAUGAAAAUUGAACUAGCUCUGAUACCACUUGUUAGGAUCAACCCGAUUAAGCAACGAACAAGUAAAAAAAUAGUAUAAGAAAUUGAUAAAUUUAACACACAAAUUUAACGUGGAAAAACUUCUCCAAAGAAGAUAAAAAACCACGAGUAAAAAUCAUUUUACUAUAAUGGCAAAAUAACGAAGAGUGCAAAAGAUAGAGAUAAAAACUAAACCCUGAAAACCCGAAAACAAAGAACCCUCAAAACGUAAACACAAAACUCUUUAAAUGUGUUAUAAGUUCUAAUAUCUAAUGGGUGUAUUUUCUAAGAUUGUAAAAGAGCCUAUUUAUAGGCUAAAUUCAUAGGUCAAAUAAUAAUAAAAUAAUCUAAACUAAUUAGUGUUUGAUUGAAACAAAUAAACAAAGUUUAACUAGAAGAUUAUUUCUCAAAUUUGACUAAAAUAGAGGUCAUACUUAACAGUGGUAGUUAAAGAAAUAGAUAUAAUAAUAAAUUUAGCCCUAAACUUUUACAUAUUAUAUCAAUUUAGUCAUAAUUUUAAAAAAUUAAUCCUCAAAAUCUAUACUCUCAAUUUGAUCUUAAUUCUAAAAAAAACAUAAAUAUUUUCAAAAAAUUAUAAUAAUUAUUAUUAAAUAAAUAAUAAUAAAAAGAAAUAGGAGAACAAAGAGAAAUACGUAAUUUUACUGAUCAAUAGAGAUGUGUACAAUGCUUUUCCAAAAUCUAUAUUUAUAGACAUAAGACAUGUAAAUGAAAUAAACUCUACUUCUAAUUAGUCUUUGAGUCUUGAAGUAUAUAAAAUUUAUCUUGAUAUUGAUGGACAUCCACCUAAUAAUAAAAUAUUUAUAACAAUAAUAAUAACAAAUUUAAAAUUUAUAUUAAUAAUAUUAAUAUUAAAUAAAUAUAAUUAUAUUAAUUACUAAAUUGAUAUAAUAUGUUGAGGGCUAAAUUUAUUAUUAUACCAAUUCUUUUAAUUGCCACAUCAGCCUUCUGUUGGUGAUUUUAAUGAGAGGGGCCAAAAUAGCCGAACUAGAUAACGUGAGUGUUUAAAUUGCAAAUAAUUUUUAGUUUCUAAAAUGAUUUUUUUUAUAAUUAAGUGACUAUUUGUAUAGUUUAUAUCUUAGAAAAAAUUCUCCUCAAUAAAGACAACCCAAUAAAUAUUUAAAAAGAAGUACACUACCGAUUUACCAAAUACUAACUCAUAUAUAAUAUUAUAAUGUAAAUAUUAAGAUAAUUAUAUAACUAAUAUAAAUAUAUAUAUAAUUUUAGCUUUCAAAAAAUAAUAUUAUUUUAAUUUUUUUGUAUUUAUACUAUUAAUAAACUCUUUAAUUAAGUUGGUGUCAAAGGUUAACUAAGCACCACCUGUGACACUAACUUAGCUAUGAAAAUUAUAAAAAUAAAAUUCCGUACUUAAAAUAAAUUAUAUUAUUUAAGGAUACUUUAGCUUUUUUUAAUAAAAUUUAUUCAUAUUGUGAGAUUUGAAUCCAAACCAAUUGCAUUGGUACAACUUUAAAUUUACCACUCAUCCAAACACUUUUUUUUUUAUUUCUUUAUGCGUUUUAAUUUUAUUAUGCACAAUUUAUUACCUCCAUUAAUUGUAUAUAUUGUAUUCUAAAUACGCAAUUUUCACAUGCAUACAUGCGUAAUAGAAUUUCUUAUUAACAAUGUUCUUGAUUGAGUUAUUGUCACAACUAACUCGACACCAACUCAGAACUGAUAACACAACAAUGAUAAACAAUUAUAUUCAUUUAGUAUUUUUAAUCUUAUGUAUUUUUAUGUUUAAAUAUCAUUUUACUCAUAACUUAAUUUAUUUUUUUUAUUUUAAUAUCACAGAUAUUUCAUGUGUUACUAUUAAUUGAUUCUAAUUUAUUUAUUGUAUAUUAUUUUUAAAUAAGUCUUUAUAUUCUAAAUAUGUGAUUUCUUAUAUAUACACGUGUAAUAAAAUUUCUAAUUUUCAUUAUCAUGUCAUUUUAUACGAGACUUUAUCCGUCUAAUUUUAAAGGCACUUUGGUGACAUCAACCAAGCCGGUAAAAGAAUGGAGCUUAUGUUUGCCAGACCAGAGAUUGAAACUCCUAGUGGCCUCAAGGCAGCAUCUGUUUUAACGAGCGUAUACAACGAGAGUAAGUUUAGAACCAUUUUGCCUAAGCUUUACACAAGCCCCAUUGAGACCAUCUUUUGCCCAGACCCCAACCAGGGCUUAUACUGUCAAUUACUUUUUGGUUUAAUCCAACGAGACGAGGUUGUCAGGGUUGGUUCACUAUUUGCAUCUACGGUGCUAAGAGGUAUCAAGUUUCUAGAAAAUCACUGGCAAGAGCUAUCCUAUGACAUAAAAACAGGUCGAUUAAGCGAUUGGAUCACCGACUCAGGAUGCAGAAAUGCAGCCUCAUUGGUCAUGAAGCCUAACCCAGAACAGGCUGACUUGAUAGAGAACAUAUCUAAUUGUAAAUCAUGGGAAGGAAUAGUCACAAAGCUAUGGCCCAAAGCAAGGUAUAUUAGUUGUGUUUGUACUGGCGUUAUGAGACAGUAUAUUGCAGAACUCGAGUUCUAUUGCAGAGGGCUCCCUUUAGUUUCAACUUUUUAUGCUUGCUCGGAAGCUCUUUGUGGGAUUAACUUAGAACCUCUAUGUAAACCUUGUGAUGUCUCCUACACAUUUCUCCCUAACAUGGCUUACUUUGAAUUCCUUCCUGUGGAAAAUGAUCAUGAUGAAUCUAUUGAAAUGAAGAGGAACGAUGAAGAUACUGAACUUGUUGAUCUUGUAAAUGUGAAGGUUGGUCAAUGUUAUGAACUAGUUGUCUCAACUUGUGCAGGUAAAAUUUCCUCCUUUGAAUUUAAUCAAUUAAUCAAAUGCCAUCUUCUAAUUUUGCAUUAUGCUUCCUAGUUCCUACAUUAACCUGUUAGAUAAUGAUCUGAUCUAGUUUGAUGGUAUUCCUUUCAGGAUUAUAUCGAUAUAAAGUUGGAGAUGUUCUUAUGGUGAGUGGUUUCUACAAUAAUGCACCUCAAUUCCAAUUUGUGGAGAGGAAAAAUGUUAUCCUCAAUGUUGAUCAGGAAAAAACAAGCGAAACAGACCUUUUCAAGGCCGUGAUAGAAGCAAAGGCUCUUCUCGAUCCACUCGGAUUCAUCUUGACAGAGUACACUAGCUAUGUUGAUACUUCUUCAGCACCAGGUCACUAUGUAUUAUUUUGGGAGAUCAAGGGAAAAGAAGGGAAGCAUUGCAAAGAGCUUGACCCAAAGAUAAUGGUAGAGUGUUGCACUAGAAUGGAAGAGUCGUUGCAUUAUACAUAUAAAAUCUAUAGGAAAAGGAACAUAAUUGCAGCUCUGGAGACUAGGGUGGUAAAGCAAGGAAGUUUUGAGGCACUAAUGGAUUACUAUGUGUCCAAAGGAACUUCAUUGAGCCAAUACAAAAAACCUAAUUGUAUUAAAUCUGAGGAAGCCUUGAAGAUAUUAGAUUCGAGAGUGAUAGGAAAGUAUUUCAGCCCCA